UAUGUGUGUGUGUGUGUGUGUGUGUGUGUGUGUGUGUACACGUGCGUGCGCACACACACACACACAAAUC